rnacentral:rRNA from 1 species
UACGUAGGGGGCAAGCGUUAUCCGGAAUUAUUGGGCGUAAAGAGUACGUAGGUGGCAACCUAAGCGCAGGGUUUAAGGCAAUGGCUCAACCAUUGUUCGCCCUGCGAACUGGGAUGCUCGAGUGCAGGAGAGGAAAGCGGAAUUCCUAGUGUAGCGGUGAAAUGCGUAGAUAUUAGGAGGAACACCAGUGGCGAAGGCGGCUUUCUGGACUGUAACUGACACUGAGGUACGAAAGCGUGGGGAGCAAACAGG